rnacentral:lncRNA from 10 species
GGCUCCCGCCACCAUGCCCGGCUAGUUUUUUGUAUCUUGUAGUAGAGACGGAGUUUCACCAUGUUGGCUAGGCUGGUCUCUCUAACUCCUGACCUCGUGAUCCACCCACCUCGGCCUCCCAAAGUGCUGGGAUUACAGGAGUGAGCCACUGCGCCCGGCCGAGAUUCUUAUGCUAUUAUUCUAUGAAGCCCUUGGCACAAUGCUUGACACACAGUAGGUACCUGAUAAGUGGAGCUUCUAUUGCUGUUCCCCUUAGCAUGAUGCGUGGCACAUACUAGAUAUUCAGUAAAUAGAUGCUCUAUUAUUUUGUGAAGCCCUUGGUGCUGGCACAUAGUAGGUGCCUAAUGGAGCUUCUGUUGCCAUUCCCCUUGGCACAGUGCCUGGCACAUAGUAGGUAGUUAAUAAAUGGAGCUUCUGUUGCUGUUCCCUUUGGCAUGGUACCUGGCACGUAGUAGGUGCUUAAUGGAGCUUCUAUUGCCAUUCCCCUUGGCAUGGUACCUGGCACAUAGUAGGUGUUCAAUAAAUAGAUGCUUUUACUAUUAUUUCGUGAAGUGCUUGGCGCUGGCACAUAGUAGGUGUCUAAUAGAGCUCUGUUGCUGUUCCCCUUGCCACGGUGCCUGGCACAUAGGUGUUCGACAUAGAUUAUUUUGUUACCAUUCUAUGAAGCCUUAGCACAAUGCUUGACACGUAGUAGGUGCCUGAUAAUUGGAGCUUCUGUUGCCAUUCCCCUUGGCAUGGUUCCUGGCACAUAGUAGGUGCUUAAUGAAUGGAGCUUCUGUUGCCAUUCCCCUUGGUAUGGUGGCACAUAGUAGGUGCCUAAUAAAUGGAGCUUCUGUUGCUGUUCCCCUUGGCACGGUACCUGGCGCAUAAUAAGUGCUUAAUAAAUGGAGCUUCUAUUGCUGUUCCCCUUGGCAUGGUGCCUGGUACAUAGUAGGUGUUGAGUAAAUAGAUGCUUUACUAUUUGUGAAGCCCUUGUUGCUGGCACAUAGGAGGUGCCUAAUAAACAGAGCUUCUGCUGCCAUUCCCCUUGGUAUGGUGCCUGGCACAUAAUAGGUGCCUAAUAAAUGGAGCUUCUGUUGCUGUUUCCCUUGGCACAGUACCUGGCACAUAAUAAGCCUUUAAUAAAUGGAGCUUC